rnacentral:rRNA from 1 species
GAUGAACGCUGGCGGCGUGCCUAAUACAUGCAAGUCGAGCGAACAGACGAGGAGCUUGCUCCUCUGACGUUAGCGGCGGACGGGUGAGUAACACGUGCAUAACCUACCUAUAAGACUGGGAUAACUUCGGGAAACCGGCGCUAAUACCGGAUAAUAUAUUCAACCGCAUGGAUCAAUAGUGAAAGACGGUUUUCCUGUCACUUAUAGAUGGAUCCGCGCCGCAUUAGCUAGUUGGUAAGGUAACGGCUUACCAAGGCAACGAUGCGUAGCCGACCUGAGAGGGUGAUCGGCCACACUGGAACUGAGACACGGUCCAGACUCCUACGGGAGGCAGCAGUAGGGAAUCUUCCGCAAUGGGCGAAAGCCUGACGGAGCAACGCCGCGUGAGUGAUGAAGGUCUUCGGAUCGUAAAACUCUGUUAUUAGGGAAGAACAAAUGUGUAAGUAACUAUGCACGUCUUGACGGUACCUAAUCAGAAAGCCACGGCUAACUACGUG